UAGGAAACCCAGUAAGUAGCAAGUCAGUUA
rnacentral:piRNA from 1 species